UAAGAACCAUUUAAGAGGAAAAAAACAUAUGUAUAUAGGUGACGUGUGUCUGAACGUGAAAUGUACUACUAGCGAGUAUGUGCGGGUGGAGAAGAAGAGAAUGGCGUUGGGCUCAAAAUGGUAUGGACGUCAGAAACGAUGUUGUAUUUGAUAGGUUACACUAGAGGCUAACACGGUAUGGGGUUGGACUUUAGAGUUACCUGUGAAUGCAACAUUAUUUUGAUUUUCCAUUAAAUAUUCGAUUCAUUUAUAAUUCCCUUUUUUUUUUUUUUUGGUCAACAUUAUUUUCCAUUAAAUAUUCGAUUCCAUUUAUAAUUCCCUUAUACCAAAACACUGUCAUUUAAUUUGUAGUUCUUUUUUGGUCAACUACUAGUAAAAGCCAAAUUCAAGUUUUCCAUUGAUUUGUAUGGUCUCAGUCGAGUAUAAAACGGACAUUUGGAGAAGACUAGUUGUGGUAGAGUUCGCGGCUACUUGUCGCUGAGACAACCAUUAGUAUUGUUUGUUGAUAAUGCUAUCAUUAUCACAGCUUCAGUUUCUUUGAGGGUUACAAACAAGACGGGCCAGCUUCAAUUAGUACUCCUCCGUUUCCGAAAAUAAAAUGUUUUAGAUUUUUUACUUGUUCUACAAAGAAGAUUUUUUAUAUGUUUAAGGUAUUUUUUUAUAUUAUUAAGAAACGUUAAAUGAAAAUAUUUGAA
rnacentral:lncRNA from 1 species